UGUAACAUGUGAAAGAGCUCAAAGAGCCAUUUUAAAAGUGAGUGUGCCCUUAUGUGAAAACUGAGUGUGCCCUUCUACCUUCAUAUUAUAGAUAUAAGCAUAUAUUUUGUUUUCAUCAAGCAUUCAUGGGAAUCAAAUUCUUGGAGUGUUUCCCCAAACAAUGCAAAUUUACAAAUCACACACUCCCAUAAAUUAGAUAUACACUAACAACCCUUUGGAGCCCCCGAUGGUGCAGUGGGUUAAACUGCUGAGCUGCUGAACUUGCUGACCGAAAGGUUGGUGGUUCAAAUCUGGGAAGCGGGGUGAGCGGCCGCUGUUAGCCCCAGCUUCUGCCACCCUAGCAGUUCAAAAACAUUCAAAUGUGAGUAGACCAAUAGGUACCGCUCUGGCGGGAAGGAAACAGCACUCCAUGCAGUCAUGCCGGCCACAUGAGCUUGGAGGUGUCUACGGACAACGGCGGCUCUUUGCCUUAGAAAUGGAGAUGAGCACUAAUCCCCAGAGUCGGACACGAUUAGACUUAAUGCCAAGGGAAAACCUUUACCUUUACCUAACAACCCUUUAGAUAUUAAGUUCCCGCCCAAUGUUUUGUACAUAGAGACAGUACACAUGGGAGCCUAGAUUUUAUAAUUCCUAUGCAAAGAAGGCUGUCCAUGUGCCUGUGUCCAUAGAUUUCAGUGUCCACAUGCAUGUAUUCACUGAGGAGCAAUGCAGAUCCUAUUCUUAAGCACAGGUUUUGCCCUGAAAUCUAAGGGCCUGAGAUAACCCUCACAUGGAAACUCUAUAUUAAAAUACUGGAUGAAGGUCAGAGUUUCAGAAGCAAAUUUGGGAAAGCAAACAUCUUCAAAAUGCUGAUGUUCAAGAUUUGAAGGAAACAAAGUGCAAGAAAAAAAAACCCUAAAAGAAACCCUGAGUCAGCUGGCAGAAGUUUUAAACAUCUUCUAACAGCUUGAAUAGAUAAAAGCUUCCACUUUUCGGAAGUGUAGGCAAAAUAACCUCAUUUUACUUGGAAGGGGUUUGCUGAGGUGAAGUAAACAGCUAGCAGGGUGAAGCAAGGAAUCCUUAGGACCCAGGGGAAGCCACAGAAAAUAAUCUCCUGCAUUCAAUAUGAGGAGUUCCUCCCCUCACUGGCCAGGGACUCUCAGGUGUCCUAGUAACACAUCUCCCUCUUUCUCCUUCCGGCAGCUGCUUCCUCAGAAGUGGCUCAUCCACCUCAAUGCCCCUUCUUUUACGACUGCCCCCACUCCUCCUUCCCAAUGCAAUGGCCAGGGAAUAAGGCUGCCUCAUCAUGAAUGACCACUACCACCGAGCAGCCAGGGAUGGCUACCUUGAUCUGCUCAAAGAGGCCACCAAGAAGGACCUCAACUCCCCCGACGAGGAUGGCAUGACCCCAACCCUAUGGGCUGCCUAUCAUGGCAACUUGGAUGCCUUGCGGUUGAUAGUUAGCAGGGGGGGUGAUCCAGACAAAUGUGACAUCUGGGGGAACACACCUCUUCAUCUAGCAGCAGCCAAUGGGCAUUUGAAUUGCCUCUCCUUCCUGGUGUCUUUUGGGGCCAAUAUCUGGUGUUUGGACAAUGACUACCACACGCCACUGGACAUGGCAGCCAUGAAAGGCCACAUGGAGUGCGUGCGUUACUUGGAUUCCAUUGCUGCCAAGCAGAGCAGCCUCAACCCCAAGUUGGUGGGCAAGCUGAAGGACAAGGCCUUCAAGGAUGCAGAGAAGCGCAUUAAGGACUGUGUAAAGCUGCAGAAGAAGCACCAUGAGAGGAUGGAGAAAAGGUACAAAAAGGAAAUGUCUGACCAUUCAGACACCAUGAGCUUCUCCAGUUACUCCAGCAGCACUUUGAGCAGGCGAUUCCAGCACAUGUCUAUGAUGACAUCGUUGCCAUAUUCUCAGGCCACUGUACACGGCACAGCCAAGGGCAAAACCAAAAUCCAGAAAAAGCUGGAGAAGAAGAAACAGGUAGAUGGGACAUUCAAAAUAUAUGAGGAUGGGAGGAAAAGUGUGCGCUCCUUGUCUGGCUUGCAGCUAGGCAAUGAUGUCAUGUUUGUGAAACAAGGCACCUAUGCCAGUCCAAAGGAGUGGUCUCGGCGCAACAUUAGGGACAUGUUUCUGACCGAUGAGGACACUGUCUCCCGUGCCAUAAGUGACCCAGGUUUGCACAUAGACUCAGCCCAUUCUGAGGUCAGCACCGAUUCUGGACAUGACUCUUUAUUCAAUCGCCCUGGCUUAGGCACUAUGGUUUUCAGGAGGAACUAUGUCAGCAGUGGACUGUUUGGGAUUGGACAGGAUGACCCCGGCAUGCUAGGAGAAAAUAAUAUGGAUAGGUUGGGCGUUAAACUUCAAAGCCGCCUGCAGCGCUCGCCAAGUCUCAACGAUAGCAUCGGCAGUGCCAACAGCCUGCAGGAGAGGAACAUGGAGGAGCUGCCAUGGGAUGAGAUGGAACUGGGCCUGGAUGAUGAUAUUGAACCUGAAACCAGCCCUCUAGAGACCUUCCUUGCCUCUUUGCACAUGUUUGAAUUCAUUUCUAUCCUUAAGAAAGAAAAAAUUGAUUUGGAAGCACUCAUGUUAUGUUCAGAUAAUGAUCUGAAGAGCAUCAACAUCCCUCUGGGACCCAGGAAAAAGAUUCUAGAUGCUGUCCAGAGGAGGAAACAGACUUUGGAGAAUCCUGAUGUCAUAGAAGACACUGACCUGUAAGCAAUAGAGCCCUAACUUCAUUCUCAUGGAUGCACAAGGGUCUUCUUCAACACAUGAUGAGCAUAACCUGCAAGGAUAGCUGUUUUUAAGGACCAAGGAACAACAAAACAGUUCUAAAUUGCCAGAAAACAUCUGCCAGAGAUCCUAACAGUGGGAAACAGAACGCCACAACAUAAGGCCCAGCUCUAACAAGCUCUCAUCUUAUCCUCUUGUUUUUUGCCUGCAAACGUUUGCCAGAUAGUAGCCUGGUGCUAAAGAGAUUUUUAAAUAUUGCACCCCACCCCCUGUCCCAAUCUAAGCUAGUAAACGCAUCUACAUUACCUGUUUGAGCAACAAUUCUGCAAACUCAAGAUUACAUAAUGAAAGUUAUUUUAUAGUUGCUCUGUUUAGCUAACUGUCAAAAUAAUAGAAAUGAACCAGCUUUUCUUAAAGGUAGAAAGAUGUGAUGUUUCACUUGUAGCAUAGUGAUAUCCAUUCUAUGAGACAUAAGUAGGUGACAAGGAGAACAACUUAUGGGAAAUAGUAAUUAGCAUGCAUUAUGAUAUCAUUUACCAAAAUGGCUUUGGGAAAUAUUUUGUAAUUGCACGGCUAUAAGCAUUGAUCACAAAAUAAAUGUGUUUAACAUAUGAUUCCUGUAAGGAAAUGGUAUGUCAAAGAAAAUUUGUAGUCCCCCCCCCCCCCAAAAGAAAAAAAGCUAGCAUUAUGUUAGUAACUUAGGCAGAUAUAAGCCCAAUUAAUAUAGCUCACUUCUUUGGUCAUUGCUAAGGCUGGAAUUCUAUACCUUCGUCAUGUAAUGUCAACAAUUCCAUGUAUACAUAUUUUCAUGUUUCUUGCCUUCAAAAUGACCAUAAAGUGUAGUGCAGGGGAUGUUUAAGAAACAUCUGGCUAUGUCCCUAUAGUCACAUGCAGACUGAUGCCAUCACCUUUAAGAUUCCUGGAAAGUCCCAGAUGAUAUCUUUGCCAUUUUGCAUUUAGGGGUAUAGUGAGAUGUUUUUCAGACACCCGAUAGUCUUCCUUGGCCACUAUAAAGUCAUUGCAUUGUGGGCUGCAUGAAAAAUGUAGAUUAACAGGGAAAGAGGAUAGCACAUAGUUCCACCGUGGAACUUUUACAUCACUCAUCCACAAUAACAACACCGGCCUAAAUCCAAUUGCCAGUCCCAAGUGGAGUCGGCUCAUAAAACAUUGGGAUUUACAUGAGUGUUGACAUAUCCAAAGCAGUUGAUUUCAAUGGGUUUAGCAUGCCCUCUACCUGUCCCUGUUUGGCAGGAAUAGCCUUGAUUAAUCCUCUGCUGUCCUACUUUUUCAGCUGCUUAUAAAAUGCUGCAGAUUUUCUUUCCUUCUCUUCCUUGGCCUCUAUGUCCUCUGUUGAUUUCAAUUGCUACAAACUACAGUCGAUGUGUAAAAGUUGUUUGCACUCAAUUAACACAGCAAUGGGAAGAAAAGUUGAGGAUCUGGCUGUAAUCUUUCUCAUUGGACCUUCCUUUCAAUUUUACAGCUGUUCACCCUAUGUCCCCUCUCAUGCAGUUCACCUAUUUGAGAAAGUCAUAUCAAAUACAUUUCUAUGCAUUGUUGGAGCCUUGAUGUAAGCCUUGAUGGAGCCUCUGCAUGGAGCUUGCCAAGUACAAAACUUCUCAUCCAAGUACAAACAUUCUCAUUGGGGGUUUUAAAAUCAAAAGGCAAAGAAAAGCAAGACAUUGGUAGAGGAGAAAGCAAUAAACAUUGGGGAAGUUUGUUUCCCUCUCCCCACUUAUGCUUACAUUGUGAUCCCAAAAUGCAAACCCACGUCUGUAUGAAUGAUAGCUUCACCUGGGCAUACUAGGACACUUGUGCACAGGACUGUAGCCAAGGGGGGGGGGGCGCUAAGGGUUCAACCCCCACCCCCAAAUUUUCAGGUUUUUUAACAAACCUGGUUUACUCAUGAAUUUUAACUGGUUAACCAAAUCCCCAUGAGUGUCCACUGAAGUUUAUCGAUGGGGCCUGAUUUCUAAAUUAUUUUGCGUUAUGGAACUACUCUUCAUGAUUCGCUAAAAAAAAAAGUUUAAAACCGCCCUCAUUUUUUUUUCUGGCAUGGCCCUGCUUGUGCAAUCAGGUGACAGAGCCCUUACACCCUUCAGGCUGUGGUGCCAUACUAGUAAAUCCAGCCUUUCCUUUCCUUCACUGCAGUAGUAUGCCAUGACAAGUAGUAUUUACACAGAUUCCAUCUGCCAUUCUGACAGAUAACAUGUGUUGAAAGCUUCUUACACAGCCAGCACACUUCUGUCUAUGAUCUCCUAUCUUUAAUGGGCUGUUCUCCCUCCAGGAAAGAGGUCAGGGUGGAGUUUCUGGCAGACCAGAAGUAUGGCCUUCUAUGGCCCAUAUUAGGCAGCCAGAGUUCCCUUCUCUUUUCAAAAGUGAUAGGAGCAUCUACUUUGUAGCACUGGACAUAAGCAUUCUUCCCUCCCAUGGGAACUUUGUCAGUGUUUAUCUUUCACAGCUCUGUGGAUAAUAGCACCAAGAGUGAGAAAGUGAUACCCAGUGCAUCAGUAUUUGCAAAUUGUUGUUACGUUAUAAUUCAAAGCAAAGCUGAAAGUUGCAUUAAUCCACAAUAUCAACUACAUUGAAAAAAGCUGACAUCAGUGUUAGGCACAAUUCAAAGCUUGUUCAGAAUUUUGAUUGCAUGGCUUUAAAGACCCAAACAUAACAUCCAACAAGAUAAAAAAAACCCCCAUAUAUAUGGAAGCGGGUAGUUGGGUCAAUCCAUCUUUAUCUGUCAUGGCUGCUCUUUAUGCUUAUUUGGUGGAAUCAGUGCAUCGCCUUGCUUCCUGUUGCUUUCACUUACUCAAGUUGGAAAAAGGCUGUUUUUCACAAGUUCCAUGGUUUUAUUUAUUUGACACGCUCUCAUGAGUUUUGCAAAGAUUGAUUGUGGCAAAAGUUUAAAUAAGUAUAAACCGAGGCAAGAAGUAAAGCCAUACCAAUUGGACAAGUGAAGAAACCCCCAUUGGGGAAAUAUGGGGAUAUAUUUGUGAGCAACAGAGACCCCUUUUGCCAUAUGGAGAAGUUGGGGCUGAAUUAUUAUUUGGCAACAGUGGAGAGAAGGUGGCUGCCUUUACCCAUGAUCCAAACAUCCUAGGGACAAUGGCAGGCAAGUCUGAACUGUGGUAAAGCCAAGCUCUUUAUUCAUAUUAGCCAUGAAAUAACAAUCCAACCUUAAAUGCAAUACUCAAGCUGCUUUUCUUCAUUGGACUUUGUCUGGAUUAAAUGUGCUAUGAUUUAUGAUAGUGAAAAACCAUUUCCCUACAUUUCUCUUUGCACCAGGCCAUUUCAUGUAUUGUUCAGACUGCAAACAUGUGUGCAUGAAAUUGGGAAUAAGUCCUUUGGGAUGCAAUGAAAUUUAUUUCUGAGUAAAUGUCCAUAGAGCUGGGCUAUCUGUUUAUUAAAUGUACAUGCAUCUAAAAUCUCUACCCUUUGUAGAUGCUUGGUAUGUAUUCAGUGCAUUAAUGUAUGUAUGUUUGUGUACCAGAACUGUAUUUUAACUGUGUCUUUAUUAAUAUAUUUGUAUUCUUUCACUGCCUAACAACAUUUUUAAUGAAAA